GAUAUAAGCAUAAGACACCCAAGCCAGAAACAGCAACGCUUCUGGGUCCCCUUCCACCACGCAGAAGCUUUACUUUCGCUUUCACUUUAACAAAUGUUGCAGCUGCACACUCUUUGGGUCCGCCCGUUUCUCUAAUCAAGCUGUAACACUCACUGCUGUGGUCCACAGCUUCAUUCCUUGAAGCCCGUGAGACACGAACGCUUCGACUGAGAGAAACCCAUCAGAAGAAGACUUCUCGUCUCAACGGGACUGCUGAGUUGAAUGGUGCUUUUUUUUCUGAAGCUUUGGUAGUGUAACGGUAAGAGUCCUGGAAUUGGAAAAGCAAAUCCAGAAGUUGAGUUCCAUGACUUUUUUGCUGUUUGCCUUUGGACUUGCAUCGUUUAUAUUUUUAAUUCAUCGAGGAUGAGAAAAUUGAUUAACACAAAAUCUUUUCAUGUCUUUUCUGAUGAGAGACUAGUUGAAUCCAAGAAGAGAAGCCCUUGAAGAGUGUAUUCUAUUCUAGACAAGCAUUCACACAUUGGCUUCUUUGGUGCCAGAUUAAAGAAUGAAGAAAGGAUCAAAUUGAGACAUCCAGGGGGGAAGAGUUCCCUGGCAAAACUCCAAUCUGCCUGAGCACUGAGGUGGAGCCACAGAAGUCCGGGUCAUUUGCACCUGGGAGGAGCCUGGCCCCUCCUCUUCCUGUUCCUGUGUGGAAUCUGGGAUUUAAUCUGUGAGGAUGGAAGGCCAAGGGCAGGAAGCACAGGCUCUCACUUCACUAAGAGUCUCUGUUUCCCCAUUUUUUCCUUUAUGCCUAAUAAAUCCCAUUUUUCUCACUCUUCAAAUAGUCUUCAAGCCUAAAUUUUCAUGACCAUGGAACAAGGACCCCAUCUUUAGCUGAACUAAGGAAAAGUCCUGCAACAAAAUUCUUUGCUAAAAAUACAUGAGGUUGCCUUUUCCUUCUUACUCUUAAAAGAAAUAUAUUUCAAUGGUUAACGUUUUAGUAAUUCGAAAAUUAUCAAGCAUUUGUUCACAACCAUAAGAUGUGCAUUGUUUUAUAUUCCUACUUAAUAAUAGACUAUAAUUGUCUGAUUAGACUGCCGGUGUUGAUCUUUGUCGCUCAUUGCAUUGAUUAUAAGCAGUGUUUUGGGUUUGUGUGUGUGUGUCAAAUUUAGGGUUUUUUGGUGUGGCUGCUGGUAGCCUGUAUCCAGUAUCCUGUAUUAAUUCUAAUAUUUGCAUUUUGAACAUAUUUACAAGUUGCUAAAAUAGCAAAGCUUCAAGAUGAGCCUGGCUGAUAUGGCAAAACCCCGUCUCUACUAAAAAUACAAAAAUUAGCCUGGUGUGGUGGUGCAUGCCUGUAAUCCCAGCUACUUGGAAGUCUGAGGCAGGAGAAUCUCUUGAACCCAGAAGGUGGAGGUUGCAGUGGGCCAAGAUCGCACCACUGCACUCCAGCCUCGGUGAUAGAGCGAGACUACGUCUCAAAAAUAAAAUAAAAUAAAAAUAGCAAAGCUA